GGUUAAGUUAAGAAGGGCGCACGGUGAAUGCCUUGGCACUAGGAGCCGAAGAAGGACGCGACGAACAACCUUGAUAUGCCUCGGGGAGUUGUAAGUAAACUUUGAUCCGGGGAUUUCCGAAUGGGGGAACCCACCAUCCGUAAUGGGAUGGUAUCCAUAACUGAAUACAUAGGUUAUGAGAAGGUAGACCUGGGGAACUGAAACAUCUAAGUACCCAGAGGAAGAAAAGAAAUAUUCGAUUACCUGAGUAGCGGCGAGCGAAACGGUAACAGCCCAAACCAAGGGGCUUGCCCCUUCGGGGUUGUAGGACACUCUACACGGGUUACAAAGAGAGAGAGAGAAAUGAAGUAGACGAAGCGAUCUGGAAAGGUCGCGAAACAAGGUAACAGCCCUGUAAUCGAAACUUCGUUUCCUCCAAGAGUGUAUCCUGAGUACGGCGGGACACGUGAAACCCCGUCCAAGUCCAGGAGAAGGACCAUCUCCCAAGGCUAAAUACUUCCUAGUGACCGAUAGUGAACCAGUACCGUGAGGGAAAGGUGAAAAGCACCCCGGAGGGAGUGAAAGAGAUCCUGAAACCGUGUGCCUACAAGUAGUUGGAGCCCAUUAACGGGUGACAGCGUGCCUUUUGUAGAAUGAACCGGCGAGUUACGAUCACGUGCAAGGUUAAGCUGAUAAGGCGGAGCCGCAGCGAAAGCGAGUCUGAAUAGGGCGAAUGAGUACGUGGUCGUAGACCCGAAACCGUGUGAUCUACCCAUGUCCAGGGUGAAGUUCAGGUAACACUGAAUGGGAGGGCCCGAACCCACGCACGUUGAAAAGUGCGGGGAUGAGGUGUGGGUAGGGGUGAAAUGCCAAUCGAACUCGGAGAUAGCUGGUUCUCCCCGAAAUAGCUUUAGGGCUAGCCUCGAGGAAGAGUAUUGGAGGUAGAGCACUGAUUGGACUAGGGGUCCCCACAGGAUUACCGAAUUCAGUCAAACUCGAAUGCCAAAUACUUAUCCUCGGGAGUCGGAACUGCGAGUGCUAAGAUCCGUAGUCAAGAGGGAAACAGCCAGACCAUCAGCUAAGGUCCCCAAGUAUACGUUAAGUGGAGAAGGAUGUGGAGUUGCCCAGACAACCAGGAUGUUGGCUUAGAAGCAGCCACCAUUUAAAGAGGAAGUGCGUAAUAGCUCACUGGUCGAGUGACUCUGCGCCGAAAAUGUACCGGGGCUAAACGUAUCACCGAAGCUAUGGAUUACCUAAGGUGUCAGUGGUAGAGAGCGUUCUAAGUGCUGUGAUCAGACCGGAAGGACUGGUGGAGCGCUUAGAAGUGAGAAUGCCGGUAUGAGUAGCGAAAAAGAGGGGUGAGAAUCCCCUCCGUCGAAAGCCCAAGGUUUCCUGAGGAAGGCUCGUCCCGCUCAGGGUAAGUCAGGACCUAAGCCGAGGCUGAAAGCGUGAGCGAUGGACAACAGGUUGAAAUUCCUGUACCACCUCCUCACCGUUUGAGCAAUGGGGGGACGCAGCAAGGUAGGGUAAGCGCUGAUGGAUAUGUGCGUCCAAGCAAUUAGGCUGAGAAGUAGGCAAAUCCGCUUCUCGCGUGUGCUGAGUUGUGAUGGCGAGCGAAAUUAUAGUAGCGAAGUUCCUGAUCCUGCCAAGAAAAGCCUCGCGAAGGUGAGAGGUGCCCGUACCGCAAACCGACACAGGUAGGCAGAGAGAAAUUCUAAGACGCUCGGGAGAACUCUCGUUAAGGAACUCGGCAAAAUGACCCCGUAACUUCGGGAGAAGGGGGGUGCUCUGUUAGGGUGUUCGCGCCCGAGAGAGCCGCAGUGAAUAGAUCCAAGCGACUGUUUAGCAAAAACACAGGUCUGCGAAGCCACAAGGCGAAGUAUAGGGGCUGACACCUGCCCGGUGCUGGAAGGUUAAGAGGGAGGGGUUAUCUGGCCACCCAAAAAAGCAUGGCUUUUUCGGGGCCGGCUGGAGAAGCUCUGAAUUGAAGCCCCAGUAAACGGCGGCCGUAACUAUAACGGUCCUAAGGUAGCGAAAUUCCUUGUCGGGUAAGUUCCGACCCGCACGAAUGGUGUAACGGUUGGAUGCUGUCUCAACGAGAGACCCGGUGAAAUUAUAUUACCUGUGAAGAUGCAGGUUACCCGCGACAGGACGGAAAGACCCCUUGGAGCUUUACUGUGAAAAGCUUGAUAUUGGAUUUUGGUACAAUUUGUACAGGAUAGGUAGGAGCCUUUGAAGCGUGAGCGCCAGCUUACGUGGAGGCGUCGGUGGGAUACCCUGAUUGUAUUGAAAUUCUAACCUAGGACUUCGUGAUCCGGUUCGGGGACAGUGUCAGGUGGGCAGUUUGACUGGGGCGUCGCGACCUCCUAAGCAAUCAACGGAGGGCGCCCAAAGGUUCCCUCCAGAAUGGUUGGAAAUCAUUCGUAGAGUGCAAAGGCAUAAAGGGAGCUUGACUGCAGAGACCUACAAGUCGAGCAGGGACGAAUCGGGCUUAGUGAUCCGGUGGUUCCGCAUGGAAGGCCAUCGCUCAACGGAUAAAAGCUACCCUGGGGAUAACAGGCUUAUCUCCCCCAAGAGUCCACAUCGACGAGGGUUUGGCACCUCGUGUCGGCUCAUCGCAUCCUGGGGCUGAAGUAGGUCCCCGGGAGGGUUGGGCUGUUCGCCCAUUAAAGCGGUACGCGAGCUGGGUUCAGAACGUCGUGAGACAGUUCGGUCCCUAUCCGUCGCGGGCGUAGGAAAUUUGAGAGGAGCUGUCCUUAGUACGAGAGAGGACCGGGAUGGACAUACCGCUGGUGUACCAGUUGUUCCGCCAGGAGCAUAGCUGGUGUAUACGUAUGGAAGGGAUAAGUGCUGAAAGCAUCUAAGCAUGAAGCCCCUCAAGAUGAGAUUUCCCUUGGAGUUAAUCCAGUAAGACCCCUUAAAGAUGAUGAGGUUGAUAGGUCUCGAGGUGGAAGCACGGUGACGUGUGGAAGCAUGAGAGAUACUAAUCAGUCGAGGACUUAUCCUA
rnacentral:rRNA from 1 species